rnacentral:rRNA from 1 species
UUUAUUUUCUUAUUUAAUUAUUUUCUUAUUUAUAUUUGUUUUAUAGAAAUAACUUAAUUUUUAGUAUUUUUUAAUGAAUAAAAUAGUUGUUGUUUAUAGUUAAUUUUACUGUGAAGGUAAAUUUAUGUAUUUUUGUUGAAGUAAAAUUUUGUUUUGUACCUUUUGCAUCAGGGUUUAUCCAUAAAAAUUUAAUUAUACAUAAUUUUCCCGAAAUAAUAAGGGAUAUCUUAAUUUGUUAUUUUAUGUUAUAUAAUAAUUAAUAAAAUUAGGUUAGGGGUUAUAUGCUAUUCAUUUAUUAAUAUCUGGUUUCUUGAGAAUUGAAUUUAAUUCAGAAUUAUUAAGAUAUUUGUAUAUUUUAUUUUAAAUUUUUUGAUAAUUUAAUGUUAUAGGGGAUUAGCUCUGUAAUAUUAAUAUAACUUGUUUAAAUUAUUUAUAAUUUAUAGGGUUAGUAACACCCGUUUUUAUUUCGUUAUAGUUAUUUAUAUUUUAUUAUAUUUAUUUUUUGUAGGUUUAUUUUUUUAUCAAGAUUUAUUAAUUAAUUAAAAAUUAAUAUUAAUAAUGAUAUAAUUAGUAAUAUUUUAAUUUUAUAUAUAGUAAUUCGGCAAAAUUAAUAUUCACCUGUUUAACAAAAACAUGGCUUAUUGUUUUAUUUUAUAUUAAGUCUUACCUGCUCAAUGAUAUUAUUAAUAUUAAAUAGCCGCAGUAUAUUGACUGUGCAAAGGUAGCAUAAUCAUUUGUCUUUUAAUUGAGGACUUGUAUGAAUGGUUUAAUGAAAUAUUAACUUUCUUUAUAUAAAAUUUGUAAAAUUAAUUUUUUAGUUAAAAAGCUAAAAUGAUUUUAAGGGACGAGAAGACCCUAUAGAAUUUUAUACUUUAUAUUAUAUAAUAUAUUUGGUUAUUUUUUGGUUAUAUUUUUUAAAGUAUUUUGUUGGGGUGACAGGGAAAUUUAUUUAACUUUCUUUAUUUAUAUUUUAUUGAAUAGUAUAUUUAUGAUCCUAUUUUAUGGAUUUAAAAGAUUAAAUUACCUUAGGGAUAACAGCGUAAUUUUCUUGGAGAGUUCUUAUCGAUAAGGGAGUUUGCGACCUCGAUGUUGGAUUAAAAUAAGUAUUAGGUGUAGAAGCUUAUUUACUAGGUCUGUUCGACCUUUAAUAUUUUACAUGAUCUGAGUUCAGACCGGCGUGAGCCAGGUUGGUUUCUAUCUUUAAAUAAAUUUUAUAUUUCAGUACGAAAGGACCAAUUAUAAUAUUUAUAAUAUAAUUAUUGAUUAUUAUUAAU